rnacentral:lncRNA from 1 species
AACAUUGCCCCAAUAAGUUUCAGCCUGAGGAUGUUGCAAUGGAUCACCAUACACUUCACUUGUGCUUGUAAGCAAAAAUCGAGCUCCUAUUCUUUUUGCUAAUCCCAACAUAUUCAAUGUUCCCAUCACAUUUGUUUUGUAAUAUCUAUCCAAUUUAAAGUCAAGGAAUUUUGCCCAAAAAAUAUUUACAUAUUAUAAUUUAUACUAUGUUGCUCGGACUUUUCAAAAAUGUGAUAGGACGUGUGUCGGAUCCUCCAAAAAUAGUGCAUUUUUAAAGGAUCUGACACGGGUGCGGCUAUAUUUUAAAUAGUCCGCGCAACAUAGAUUGUAUGCGGUGAACUACUACUACAACAACCCACUAAAAUCUUGCAAAGUAGGGUAUGUAGGGGUAGUGUAUUUGUAGAUCUUACCCCUAUCACAAUGGAGCAGCAAUACUAUUCUCGAUAGACCUUCGACUCAAGAAGACAAUACUAUCAAUAGAAACCAUAGAAAUAAUAACAGCAUUAUAAGAACAAAAAAAUAGAUGAAAUAAAGUAAUAACAAUAACCAGUAAAUAAGGCCCGACACUAUGAAAAAUGGAAGAGUAGUUGAACACAAUAUUAAUCACUAGCAGUCUAAGACAAAAUUCUAACUGACUAGCCUCUCAGCGGUACAAAGUAGAAAUAUGCUCAACUACCUCCUAACCUACAAUCCUGAUGCUCGACCUCCACACAGUGAACUACAUAGUUAUAUAACUCACAGCUACAAUUUAAAUAGAAGAGAGUAAUCCUAAAAAGAUUUAAUUUUACUUAUUGAUCUUUCUCAUUUUAAUAAAAUGAUCAUAUAACUAAGAACAUUUGUAAUAACUUAUCUUAUUAACCAUAUUACUAAUAUCUUGUUAUAAAUAGUUAUUUAUAGUUAUUUUAUGAUUAAAAAAAAUCUGUUACUGUCUAUCCAAAAUCUCUCCCCUUUAUCCCUUUUCAAUCAACACCAUCAACCCCGUUUUUCACUGGAUUAAAGCCAAAUACUUAAAAAGGGCACUCGAUGCACAAUGUAUAUUCUGUGUUUAUGCAGGGUUCGAGGAAAGAGCGUACCCAAGAAAUGUGAUCUAGACAGUCUACCGUAAUGCAAGCAUUAAUUGUUGCUUUUACGGUUCGAACCCGUAAUUUAUAGAUCAUACAAAAAUAAUUUUAUUGAUACUCUAAUGCUCCAAUUUAAACCCUGAAUAUAAAGAAAGGAUAUCAAAAAAAUAGUCGAACGACUCAGUAUUUAUGCCAUUAAGGUCAUGCAAAAAAAAUAAAUUUAAAAGAAAAUCCAAAAUGUGAAAGGAUAUGAUGGUCUUGACUGGAUUAUACUUGUAAGAAACAGGAGAAGCUGGACAUGCCAAAUGAUAAAUCUGAUCAACCUCUAACAAAAUUG